CUGGUACUCCUCGCUGCUCUCCAGAUUUUUAGUAAAGUUGUUGAGCUCAUGUACAAGGCGAGUGGUGCUUUUUUUCAGACUGUGGUGGGGCUAGGCUGUAUAUCUGGACUGAGUCGAACCAAACUAAGAAACACAUGCAGAUAUGGAAGACCAACAGAGAGAAGCAAGAGGAAGUAAAGUCAGAGGAGUUUGCAAAAUGGGGGUGAGAGGAAAAUACAUCAUAUCUUGCACUUGGGUGGAAAAGAGCAGAAAUCCUUGGUUAACAGGAUUAUACGCAAUGGUGCAGAAAGCAUUCUCUAAAGAAAAAUCAGAGAGGAAGAAACACUGCAUGGAGAAUCCAAGAAACACUCUAAGAAUUGAAGUUAAAAUGUCGGAGGAGGCCUCGUAUGUCUUCUUCUAGGAGGACUCUCAGCUGAUGUUGGUUUUUUUAGUCUGUAUGAGCGAUGGACAAGCUGUCACUACCCAUUAGAUUUUGGGUGGUCCCAGGGGACCAUCCCAAGUUUGAGGAAAGUUGGCAAUGGAAAAAGGAGCAUCUGAUAGGAGCAGUCAGUGAAGUCCUUGGUUCUUACAGAGGCAGAGAGCAUGCUGUUCAGGCGCAGAUGCUGGCGUUGGACACACCCAGAUGUCAGUGUGAAAAGAAAAUAAAAUUCCGGGACCCCAAACUCAAUACACCAAAGGGAAAAGGAAAGCUUGGAAGCUGAGUCACACAAAAAAUCGGUCUUUUGUUUCUAAAUAGACAGCUACAAGAUAAAAGGACACAUGUCUCUCCAGGUGGCCUCCCUCACCUUGACAGUGUGAAUUAACAGCUUAUCUUCAUGGACAUGGGACAAGAGGAGACUGGAAAUCAUCUCCCACACCACCCUCUCCAAGACAAAUUCAUAUUUAACUUCUACUUCUGCUCUGUUGACUUUAUCCUAUGUAAAGUACAGAUUUACUGAGCACGAGACAAAUGCAUAACUGACUAUUUCUUUACCCUCUCCUUUUCACAUGCAAUAUGCAGAUUCAGUGAGCACUAAUCGAAAUCUCACAAGAAUGUGACCAUCCUCUCCCUCUUUUUUGUCUUUCCUCCUUUCCUCUCCUGCCAACUUUUUACCCUUUAAAUAUUAAAGCCCUGAAACUCCUCUUUGGAAAAA
rnacentral:lncRNA from 10 species